GUUUACUUAACUUUCCUGCAGCUCCUGUCAGCUCCCUUCUCUCUCCUCCGGUCCGGUCAGCUCCCCUGUCAGCUCCACUGCCGAGCUGACAGGGGAGCUGACCGGAAUGGAGGAGAGAGAAGGGAGCUGACAGGAGCUGCAGGAAAGGUAAGUAACA
rnacentral:miRNA from 1 species